GCGCCCUUCCCUCGGCACCCGGGAGUGAGAUGAGGCCAGGGUUUGGCAUUGGCAGCCGAUUCUUCAAAGACUGACCUUUUAAAUGUUAAUUCAGUACUGGCGCUGCCACCUGGUGGUCAUUGAGGGGCACUGCGCGCUGUGCUGGAGGGGACAGGUCAGGCCCACGAUGCUGUGCCGAGCUAAAUAAACUGGCACUUAAACCCCUAACUAAACUCGUUGCUACCAUCGAGCAAGAAGUACAGAAGCCUUAGGUCCUCGAAGGCACAACCUCAGAAUGAAGGGUUUUUUUGAAGUCCCUGACCUGGGGUUACACGCAGGUUUCGGUUCUUUGCAGGAAUGAGACCCGUUCUCAGCAUUCGACGACUGGCCGCUAUUCGACAUGCCAAGGGUUUGGCCUGAGAGUUCCGGUCGUAUUCAGAAGCCUAAGAUCUCAGGGCUCUGAAGACGGGUGGUCACAGCAGGAGACUCAUGUGUCAUCAGGAAGGCCAGAAAAUCUGUGGGCCCGAAGACCCGAGGUCUUUGUGAUCUUUGGACGCAGAGCUCAAAAACAGCAUCGAUACCAACUUUUAACAUCGUAAACCAGUGGGUUGUUGUUCUUUCUCCCGCUCGCUGUGAAAAUGAGGGACACCUCCCUCUCCCGCUCGCCAGGGAGAGAGCAAACCUGUGGAUUGUCAAAUUUCAGAUGAAAUGCAAAGUUUUUGGGGUAACUUUGAUCUGUGCCCUUGCUAUUGCUUAGCACACACCUGGGCUCAGUGAUGGUACCGAUGUGUACUUUGUUUUGCUGGUGGGGGGAAGGGGGAGGUCGUUGCUCGCCGCUUACGUGCGGGAGGGAGGGGAGCUGGGAGGGGGGACUUCGGGGCUCUCACAUUUAACUGUCAUUUAUUCGUUGGGGCACUCCUCUGUUUUCGUGGAUGUUUGCGGAGAAAAAGCAUUUCAGGAUGUAUAUUAUAUACAUUUCUCUGACAUUAAAUAUGACUUUUGAACCUUCAGAUGUUCCAGUACCAGAUUGGCAGAUUGGUCAAAAAGUCAAAUGUUACGUGGAGAAGGGAAGUAAAUCAGCCGUGGUUGAAUGGCAGAGCACCAGAGGGACUGAAAGACCUGAUUCUGCUUCCAGGUCUUAUAGACGUCCAAACUGGGAGUCUGAGGUCGAAGAGAGAAAGCAGGGUGAUGAAAACAUGGGAUGGGCAGAGGUUAAAACUGCUGCCUCAUUUCACUAGAUCCCUAGUUUGGCAGACAGUGAACGAAGGUCUACUCUCGUACAGGAGGGAAUGCAGUUGAUCCUGGGAUCAGAGGGCAGCAGGACUGAUCACCAUAGGCCCCGAUCUACCCCCACGCCCACUCCCUGCGUAGCUGCCAAUCCAAAGCCUGUGGG